GUGCCAGCCGCCGCGGUAAUACGUAGGUGGCAAGCGUUAUCCGGAAUUAUUGGGCGUAAAGCGCGCGUAGGCGGUUUUUUAAGUCUGAUGUGAAAGCCCACGGCUCAACCGUGGAGGGUCAUUGGAAACUGGAAAACUUGAGUGCAGAAGAGGAAAGUGGACUCCAUGUGUAGCGGUGAAAUGCGCAGAGAUAUGGAGGAACACCAGUGGCGAAGGCGACUUUCUGGUCUGUAACUGACGCUGAUGUGCGAAAGCGUGGGGAUCAGACAGGAUUAG
rnacentral:rRNA from 1 species